rnacentral:rRNA from 1 species
UAGGGAAUCUUCCGCAAUGGGCGAAAGCCUGACGGAGCAACGCCGCGUGAGUGAUGAAGGUCUUCGGAUCGUAAAACUCUGUUAUUAGGGAAGAACAAAUGUGUAAGUAACUAUGCACGUCUUGACGGUACCUAAUCAGAAAGCCACGGCUAACUACGUGCCAGCAGCCGCGGUAAUACGUAGGUGGCAAGCGUUAUCCGGAAUUAUUUGGCGUAAAGCGCGCGUAGGCGGUUUUUUAAGUCUGAUGUGAAAGCCCACGGCUCAACCGUGGAGGGUCAUUGGAAACUGGAAAACUUGAGUGCAGAAGAGGAAAGUGGAAUUCCAUGUGUAGCAGUGAAAUGCGCAGAGAUAUGGAGGAACACCAGUGGCGAAGGCGACUUUCUGGUCUGUAACUGACGCUGAUGUGCGAAAGCGUGGGGAUCAAACAGG